rnacentral:lncRNA from 1 species
AAGGGAAAAAAAUGACGGAACCUUUGAUUCAACCAAUAUUUCAAAUACUUGAAUUAUUCUCUUUAUUUAUUAGCAAUAUGGAUACAUGCAGGAGUUAAAACGCAUGCCCAUGCAUUCAUACUACAUAGAUGCUAAACUACUUGCAUGUUAUUGGUCGUGAGAGAUGAUAUGAGAUUAUAUGCCGCCACCAUGACCUCCGCCUCCCCCACCACCAGCUCCACCUCCUGCUCCCCCACCAAGACCACCACCUCCAUUUCCUCCACCAAUACCACCGCCUGUUCCACCUCCCCCACCACCAGCUCCCCCACCAAGACCACCACCUCCAUUGCCUCCACCAAUACCACCGCCUGUUCCGCCUCCAGCGCCUCCACCGCCACCAGCUCCUCCUCCAACUCCACCUCCUGCACCUCCACCAAAACCACCUCCUAUGCCUCCGCCAAUGCCACCACCUUUUCCACCACCACCACCGGCUCCUCCACCAACUCCACCUCCAGCACCACCACCGACUCCUCCCCCAACUCCACCGACUCCUCCACCACCUCCUACACCACCGCCUUUUCCACCUCCAACACCCCCACCAGUACCACCGCCGACUCCACCACCAACUCCACCGCCACCACCAAUUCCUCCCCCUUUGCCACCUCCACCACCAACUCCUCCACCUCCAGCAGCACCACCGCCUUUUCCACCUCCAACACCCCCACCAGAACCACCACCGACUCCUCCCCCAACUCCACCGCCACCACCAACUCCUCCAC